GUAGCUGGUCUGAGAGGAUGACCAGCCACACUGGAACUGAGACACGGUCCAGACUCCUACGGGAGGCAGCAGUGGGGAAUAUUGGACAAUGGGGGCAACCCUGAUCCAGCAAUGCCGCGUGUGUGAAGAAGGCCUGAGGGUUGUAAAGCACUUUCAGUGGGGAGGAGGGUUGRUAGGUUAAGAGCUARCUAACUGGACGUUACCCACAGAAGAAGCACCGGCUAACUCCGUGCCAGCAGCCGCGGUAAUACGGAGGGUGCRAGCGUUAAUCGGAAUUACUGGGCGUAAAGGGUGCGUAGGUGGUUKAUUAAGUUAUCUGUGAAAUCCCUGGGCUYAACCUGGGCMGGUCAGAUAAUACUGAUKRACUCGAGUAUGG
rnacentral:rRNA from 1 species